UGACCCGAUAUGUGUCACGAUGGUGGUGCAGAAGCGGCAUCAUGUGACUGUAGAGGUGCUAACUCAGAAGCAUCAAUACCGAGCCAUCCCGCCACCACAGCUACUAUCCUCUCGAGCGUCUGACUACGAUUUAUCCAGUAACUAAUCUGAUCUUGCAUCAUACUCAUGGAUGUCCUAACUGCCUCUGGCACCGAUGCAUUAUCAGACCGGCUGGAUGACGAACUGUAUGAUUUUUUGGACCGCAUGCUAUGACCAGAUCCUAGCUACCGCCCGAGGACAGUAUCCAAAAUCGU
rnacentral:lncRNA from 1 species